UACGUAGGGUGCAAGCGUUGUCCGGAAUUAUUGGGCGUAAAGAGCUCGUAGGCGGUUUGUUGCGUCGGCUGUGAAAUCCCGAGGCUCAACCUCGGGUCUGCAGUCGAUACGAGCAAACUAGAGUGUUGCAGGGGAGACUGGAAUUCCUGGUGUAGCGGUGAAAUGCGCAGAUAUCAGGAGGAACACCGGUGGCGAAGGCGGGUCUCUGGGCAACAACUGACGCUGAGGAGCGAAAGCGUGGGGAGCGAACAGGAUUAGAUACCCUGGUAGUCCACGCCGUAAACGUUGGGCGCUAGGUGUGGGGCUCAUUCCACGAGUUCCGUGCCGCAGCUAACGCAUUAAGCGCCCCGCCUGGGGAGUACGGCCGCAAGGCUAAA
rnacentral:rRNA from 1 species